GAAAGGCAUCACGAGGGUUAUACUGUCUCCUUUUUCUAAUUAGUGAAACUAAUCUCCCCGUGAAGAAGCGGGGAUCUUUAUAUAAGACGAGAAGACCCUAUGGAGCUUUAAAUAAUAUAACAAUUGCUACUUUAUUUCUACAACCUUUAUAUCCACCUAGCAUAAGGAUUUAUUAAUUUUUGGUUGGGGUGACCGCGGAGCAUAACACAACCUCCACAUUGAAAGGAUGCUACUCCUAAGCUAAAAGCAACAACUUUAUGCAUCAAUAAAUUGACAUCAAUUGACCCAAUAUAUUUGAUCAACGAACCAAGUUACCCUAGGGAUAACAGCGCAAUCUACUUUAAGAGCCCAUAUCGACAAGUAG
rnacentral:rRNA from 1 species